UCCCUCCUCCCCUCCCCGCAGGCAGCCUGUGCCUUUUCUCCAAACGAAGACACCACUUUGAAAAUUCUUUCAAUGGAUUUUUUUUUCCUUGAAAGAUCGUACUGGGAGAAAAUGAUACUUCUAUUAGUUACAUAUUCUCCAAUCCCACACUUGCACCCCCCUCGUUCGUUUUGAGAUCGCUCCCCUAGGCAGGCUCAGGCGGGCGCGGAGCGGAGCGGAGUGACAAAGCCGCCGUUGCCGCCGCCAGGGGUGGGAACCGCGCUUUCCCGCCCACCCCUUGACUGGGGAGAGCGUAAAAGUUUGACUCAGCUCGAGCGUUCCGAGUUCCAACAGGCCCUCAGGUAAAGGUGGAAGUAAAUGGCCACGCUGUAUUGACAGAGACAGGGAUUGAGAAACGGAAAUACCACUACCUUCCGGCCAAACUGUUGUGAGGACCGAUUACAGGGGAAUUGAGGCUCCAGAUGUUGCACUAGAAUCGAUGCAAGUGUGAGCAGAUAUAAGCUGUUGUUCACCAGGGAGCUUUGGUAAAAUUGUCUAGAUGAGCAAGUCCAUCUUCACUGAGGAGAAACAACUUGAAGCUCAUCCCUACUUAUGGUAUUGAUGUUGCUUUGGCCCUUUUUUUAUUCUACCUGCUUUCACUUGAUUCACCUUCACUAUCAGAUCAUCGAACAAGAAGCCAUUACCAGAUGCAGUCCCCUUGACCUUGGACUUCCCAGCCUCCAGAACUGACGCUUUCCUACCCAGAGCUUUGGCAGUGAACCAUCUUCCUUCCUGCUCUCCCGGACUGAUAAAAAUCAAUCAUCAGAGAAGAGACGCAGACAUUAAAGAAUAAAGUAUUGAAAAGAAGAGCUACACACCUGCAAAUCCAAUGGAGAGUGUAGAUUAAAUCUGGGUGAAAUAAUCACAAAUGAAAUUUCAAGGAAGAUUCUAUUUAAGUCCUGACCUUGAAAUGUUUUUGUGAGCCUAAGAAGUUUGGACUUCAUCCUGAGGGCAAAGAAAUGACAAAUGAGAUCAUGCCAGCUGCAAUGUGAAGAACAGAAUGUACUGCCUCCAGGACUGCGAGGACAGCCACUGAAUUUCUGCUUCAAAUCACUCUCACGUCUUCCUGUUGGGAGUAGAACCACUGGAGAAUCAUCUUGCUACCUUCAGCAAAGUAAACAAAUCAAGGCAUUGAGAAUGCCACAGUGGUGGGAAACCACACCAGCUUUGCAGAGGAAGUUUUCAAGACAGUGAGGCUUACUAGCCAGAAGCCAGCAGAGACUGAACCCAUCCUUUUCAUUUGCUCCUUAAAUUAAUGUAACCCUUCCAAAUUAAUGUGAAUUGAAACAUGCAUUGCCUUUCAACUUAAUUGAGUACUUACUAUGUGUGAAUCACCGCACAAAAUAGGGGAGAGAAAUAGAGGGAGACAAAUAAGAUGUGGAGCCUGCCUUCAAUGAAUUUACAAUUAGUUUCAGGAUGCUUAUUUUUUUCUUCUGCUCUUAAUUAGGUGUGUCCUAAGACAAGAAACAAAUGAGUGGAAAAGUGUACUCUGUAAGUAUUUAAAGUCCCAUUAAUGAAAAACAAAAUUAAACAAAACACAACAAACUCAUGUGGGCAACUCAGGACAUUUUAAUUUCAUUUUUUGGUUCAACUUUUGAUAGAUAAAAUCCAUUUUAUUUUACUUAUCUUUAUUUUUUGUGGUGAGGUUUUAUUAGUUCCAUAAAUAUUCAGUGUAUGUUAGAGACAUUAAUAUGUAGUUUGAGUUAAUUUGAAUUAAGCUCUAUUUUUUUCUUUAGAUGUAGAUCAUCUGUUGGAAAAAUGUAUUAUUUGUACAUUUCUUGGUGAGUGGGAAGAUGAAUCACACCUGUUGUCUCUAUAGGUAUCAACCCUCUAUGCCCUUGGGCCUAAUAUUCUGAGUGAGUCACUAGCAUGAGAAAAAGGAAGAUGUGAAAUUUGGGGUGGUACUCCUGGACCCCUGAUUGGACUGGGAAGGAGAAAAACACACCUAAGCAAUGGCUCUGUGUGAAAAUUUGACUUUAAGUUCUUAUUUCGGUGUUCAUUAUAUUGUCCUCUGUGUUCCCUAAGUUGAAUGACUACAAUUUUUCUAAAAAUUUAUUUCUGACUUGAGACUAAGUAUAACUCAUGAUUUUUCCAGUGUUAAGGCAUUGACAUGACUGUAGACACUAGACAUUUUAUGUAGUGUCUGUGACACAUUUUAGUAUGUAUGAGCCAACUAUAGACAUGUCUUUUGUCUUGAGUAGUGUCCAUCUGAAUUGAAAAUGUGCCAGUUUUUUUUUUUAACAUCAACAGACUUCUUAAUUAAGCUGCCAAUACAUACUGCCAAUAGCAUUGUGUGCUGUCUGAGAAAUGAAUGAUGUAAGUGCUGCUUCCAUCUUAUUAAACAAUGCUGCUCCACAUAUAAUGGAUUUAAAGUGCUCUUUGAAUGGGGUACUAUAUUGCUCCCUAAAUAAUUUGAUGAGAAUUCUCAUACCCUCUCUUUUAAUUUUUAAAUUUACUAUUUUGUUCUUCAGUAAGGAAUAACUCUAAUUUGACCAGUAACUGCCUAUAUGAUUCCUUCUUAGGAUGAAUUGCCCCACCACCAAACUCCUCAUCAUCAUAGUAUAUAUUUAUAUCACUUUUAGUUUGCAUGAUGUAGCUUCCAGGAAUUCUUGGUUAUCAGUUUGUGUUAUACCUAACUUUAGAUGCUUAUUCUUUUUAGAUGCUUAUUUUUUGAGGGGUUCAUCUCUUCAUUCCUGAUGCCUUCCUAGCACAGUGCCUGGUGCAUAGUAGGUGUGUGUUCACUUUGGUGAUUAUGGAGCAUAAAGUAGCUCUUUCACUAUGGAUCUUAAGGCUCUAUAAAAGAUGGGAGGGGUUCUUGUUAACGGAAUAGCACCUUUCUUGGUUUGUAGUUUACAAUCAAUCUACUGAGGAUGAACCCAAGUAAAAUGAACAUUUUCAUACAGUCUAGUCCCCCGGGCCUCUUAAAUAGUGUCUUGGGGUCACUAGCUCAGCCUUGCUAUUUGUACCCAGGUCCACUCUGCUGCCACUGACCCUUGCCCCAUUCUCCCACACAGGGUAGGGCCUUUAAAGGGGCUGCUUCACUUUUUUUCCUCCAACUUGUCUAUCAGUAGAAUAAAAAGUACUCAUUCAUGGGGUACUCAUGAUAUGCCAGGCAGUAAGUGCUUUAUGUGUAUUCUCUCACUUAAUUAUCUCAUUUAAACUUCACUACAUUCAAGUGAAAUAGGCACCACCUAUUGCAGAAGUCUUGCUUAAGGCAUGGUAUUGAUAUCCACAUCUCUUAUACUCCAAAGACUGAUCUGUUAACCCCUACUCUCUGCUGCAUCCCAGGAGAAAUUCCAGUGCCUGGUGAAUUCAAACAUGUGUGUGAGUGGUAUAUGUGUAGGGGGCAGAUCAAGUCUGGAUAAAGUCCAGAUUCAUUGCAUUUAAUGUUCUUGAAUGACACACUGUCUAACAGAUAAAAACCCAACAAAUCACAGUUGUUUGAAGAAUGGGGGAAGGGCCAAGCAAUUGGGAGAAAGCAAAAUUGGAAGCAAACCAAUUUGAGUCAAACCUUUAGCCUUUACCUCAUAAUGCUUUUUUUUUAAAAAAAACUUUCUUUCUUUUAAACAUGGCUUGACAUCAUGUGAUAAAUCAAAGCCUGACGUAAUUGACCCAGAAUUGAUCUCCAAAUGUCUUUGGGGGGAACAUGCUUUAACUCUGGUGGUUGAUUCUGAGGAAUAAUUGCCACCCUAGAAAGGUAAUUACAUAUGCCAUUGUUUAUACACAUAAUAGGCUCAGAAUGCAUGUUCUGCACAGAAGGAAGGAAUAUCCUGCUUGCACAUCAGGAGUGUGCAUUAUGGAUUAUGUCAGAAUGCCACAAAAUAGCAUUUGAACUGCUUCCUAUUGUUGAUCUCUCUCUCUCUCUCUCUCUCUCUCUCUCUCUCUCUCUCUCUCUUUCUCCCCCUCUCUCUCCCUGUGUGGUGGGGGGAAGUUAGAAGUGAGGAAGGGGAUGGGCCAUGAAAGACGUUUGUUGAGCUAAAAUGGCAGUUCUUUGCUUUUUCUUAAUUUUUCCAUUUAUCAGAAACGUCUUCUGGAUCUUAUUCAUUUAGCUUGAUCUGGUAAGAAUGUGUUCUCCCUGCUUGGCAUAUGCUUAUUAAUGAGUGCUCACAUAUCCUUCCAUUAAUGAUAGUUGACUUUGUGGAAUUACAUGGUAAGGAUCCUUUUCCACAACAUCUUCCCAAAUGCUCUGGUUUGACCACCCACUAAGUAUACCAACCAGCCAGCUAAGAUGGUAGCCCUUCCUCCUACUGUACUUUCUGGUAAGCUAAGUGGAAAUGAAGCCACAAAUGACCAAUCAAAGCACUUUAUGCUUUUUUGUUUAGCCGUAGACAGGGAUUAUCCUAAGUAAAUAUAACAAAAAGGCUAUUCUGUGAUAGUCUAACCCUGGCAACCUAUGUUUUCCCCCCCUUUUAAAUCAACGCCUUAAAAAUGUCAUGACUUUUUGUAGUGCUGCACAAUGAAAGAAAUACAUAUGUAUUCCAAUAUGGAACUGAGCAUUGUUUGAGGCCAAAGCAAUUCAUCGUGGGCUGUUCUGUGCCACAGUGUCCAGCAAAUUGCAUGACCUGCUUGUUAGGCUUGACAACAGUGUUUUACCUAACAAAGGCCUCUGCAGCGCCGAGCAGCAGUGGAAUGUCAGAAUGAGCACAUUUCACACCCAGAUGUGCAGCCAUAAUAGCGUAUAAGAAGAUGCAUGUGGCAGGGAGCAAAGAGUGGGGGCUGGGUGCUGGGAGUGGCGGGUGUGUGAGUGUGUAGGCUGGGAGCCAGUGGGAGGGGAGGCCAACAGUUAGCAGUAGGGACAUGGCCCCACUGACCACAUUUAAUCAGUCCUCUGUAAACAAUUCAACGUUUUCAUUGUUCUCUAAAAACUAAUAAAGAGAAACAAGCACUUUUCAUUCAUCUUGAAGUAAUUUUCUGUCAGGUUAGAGCCCCUCGUGGCCUCCAGCUUGUGCAAUGCUAGCUGUGUGAUACAACAACUAUUGCAAUUUAUUUUACAAACUCUGGUCAUUCACAUGUCAGUUAGUGUUCACCAAGCCGGCAUCUGAAAUUGUGCAGUUAACGAGUUUUACAACAUUUCUAUCAAGAGAAACUGUUUAGCAUAACUGACUCUUAAGGAGUUAUUAUACCUCUAAAAAUCCAUUUUAAGGGGCAUUAUUUAAAUAAAAUAGAAAAACGGUUCACUGCCUUUUAAAGGGGCUACAAAAAAAGUCCAUCAGCUCCAGCGCAGUAAUCCUCAGCUUAAAGCACUCUUGAGAGUACUUCUGGGAAUUGUCAGCAUAAUGAAAUGUUUUGUGAAAUGUCCAGAUAGAUUCCUCUCCUCAACAAUUUUACUGCGCCAUAUUUAUUUUCCUUCUAGUUUUUAAAGAAGUGAAUUACUUUUUGAGAGGAUGACUCUAUGUUGUGUGGAUUAACUGAGCACAUUAUUACCGAGGUGGUAGCAGAAGUGACGGUUCUAUUUUCAGUGCUUUCGAUGUGCAUCUGCAGAGAGGGGCAAGGAGAAAGACAGCCCUCUCCCCACCCCAGUGCUUUUUGCUCCAAAAGGGUUAAAUCAUAGCAAAGCUGAGGGAAUUUUACAUUUUCCUUAGGCUAUAUUUUUCUCAAACUUAAACAACUUUGGUUCACAAUAACACCUAUAAGUACUUUUUUCAACUUUAUAAAAGGGGCUUGAUUUUCUUACCCUAAAUAAAUAAAUGCAGGAAAACUCACACACAUGUGCGCUGACACAUGCAUAAUGACGCAUAUCCUUUAAGUCUUGCCCAUUUCAAUAGGAGAUGCUAUUGAACAUUUUACUUAAGGAAGAAUGGAUUCCUCACAUUAACUGAGAUGGCCAGUGACCCCAAACCAAUUAAUGGCUAGAGUCCAUAUGGUAGCACUGUAUAGCAUAGCAGCAAGUUCAUUUAACAUAUUAUAUUACCUAACAGGAGGAGAAGCCACCACUUGUAAUGUAAAUAGCUUAAUAGUUCUUUCUAUGAUAAGCAAGACCAGAAGAAAAUUUAUGAUCUGCUUUAACAAGAGAUAGUCCAUGUCCUAUAAGACUGCACAUUUUCAUUUUGUCACAAAUGGUUCCCUAAUUUCUUAGAGUGAUGUUUGUGCACAUGACUUUAAUUUUCUGAGGGAGAUGGGCAGGUGUUCUUGUGCCUGUUAGCUGUGUCUGCCCAUAAGAAGCCCAGUAACAUCCAUGAACCAAAUACAAUUUGACAUAAUUCAUGCCUUUAUUACCUCCUACAGAAUGAUACUAUUUCAUGCUGCCACAUUAAUGUUUCCAGUAUGAUACUGUCAUUCCUGAAAAUUUUUACCUUCUAAAGUUCAAAUGUUGAGGAAUGAGUUUUAAAAUUCUCCAGAUGCCUUAGAUUUGGGGCAAAUACAAUAUAUUUGGUGAUCAGCUUUUGUAACUUCUUAAAAAAAAUUUAGUGGCACUGCAGACAAUGUUUAGACAAUGAGCAAAGGUCAUUUCUGAAAACUCUCUCCUCUUCAUGACCAAAGAACUUGUUUCUAUUCUAUUUCUGGUUUUGCAAAUAAUAUUUACUCAGCUUAUCAUGUCAUAUUUUUCUGUUUUUUGUUCCCCUAGGAUGUAAAAUCAGGAGAUGUCAAUCAAAAAGUUUCCAUGAUUGCAAUUUCAAUUUAUUAGUGUAGCACUUACAUCUUUCUUAAUACUCCAGUGCUUGAAAUUAGUUAGGGCAGACAGAAUGGAUUAGCUUUUUAUUGCUUCCAUAACAAAUUACCACAAAUUCAGUGGCUUAAAAAAACACAAAUUUAUUUUAAUAGUUUUUUAAGAUGUUGAUAUACCUUUAUUUUAUUCAUUUAUUUAUAUGUGGUGCUGAGAAUUGAACCCAGUGCCUCACACAUGUUAGGUGAGCACUUUAUCACUGAGCCACAACCCCAACCCUUAAAAUGACACAAAUUUAUUACUUACAUUUUAGUAAGUUGGAAGCUCAGAGGACUAACUCACUUGUCAACAGAGCUGCAGUCCUUCUGGAGGCUCUGGGGGAGAAUCCAAUUCCUUGCGUAUCCUAGCUUACAGAGACCACUUGCCUUCCUUGGCUUGUGGCCUACUCCUUCAUAUUCACAACUAUCAAUGGCAGGGAAAUUUUUCUCACAUGGCAUCUAUCUUACCCUCGUCUAUCAUUACACCUCUCCCUUUGAGACUGCCUGGAAAAUGUUCUUGUUUUAAGGACUCAUGAUUACAUUGAAAUGAUUAGGAAAAUUCAGGAUAAUCUCCUCAUUUCAAUGUUCAUUCCCUAUAUCACAUCUGCAAAACCUCUUUUGUCAUGAAGGAUAAUGUUCACAGGUCUGGAGAUUUGGAGGUAGGCAUCUUGGAGCACCAUUGAUCAGCUUAUCACAGGGAGUCUUUGAGAGGUCUUUUCCAUAUCAAAGUGAAGGAUUAAUAGUAGUUACCAGUCCAAUAAUCGUGCACAAACAUAGUUUAAAAUUUGAGAGUAUUUGUCCCAACACAUGUACAUUUCCUUCUGAAUUAUAAUACCAUGAAUUUCUACAUUUUUAUAGCUGGCAAACCUUAGUUUCUCUUUAAAAAUUUCUUUUUAUUAUUUUUUCUAAUUAAUUGUACAUGACAGUAGAAUGCAUUUAUAUGUUUUGAUAGAUCGUACAUAAAUGGAGUGUAAUUUCUCUUUUUUCUGAUUACACAUAUUGUAGGAUCAGAUUCUUUUAGUAGAAAAGUGAAUACAAAUGGAUCUUCUAAUGGUUUCUUUUUGAACCUCAGUGCAUCAUUUUGUGUGCCCCUGAGACUGUGUGCACCUCAUUUUGGAGAGGAAGGAGAAAGAAUGGAUUAACUUGUGUAAAUAUGUUCUUUAUUCUUUUUUGAGAUCUAUUAGGCUUCAAGGUAAGGAAGAGACUGUAAGAACUUUCUAGUAGUCCUUGAUAGUUUUUAGAAAUGAGGAAGAAAGUUGUUUUCUUUACAUGUACUCUUACUGGUAUUUGUAGAUAGAGAGUAUAACAUGCCCAAAACUUUUCUGCAAAUUAUAGAAUUAUAAGACAAACUUUAUAAAA